rnacentral:rRNA from 1 species
GACGAACGCUGGCGGCGUGCUUAACUCAUGCAAGUCGAACGGAAAGGCCCUGCUUUUGUGGGGUGCUCGAGUGGCGAACGGGUGAGUAACACGUGAGUAACCUUCCCUUUACUUUGUGAUAACUUCAGGAAACUAGGGCUAAUACCUGAUAGGAGCUCCUGCUGCAUGGUGGGGUUUGGAAAGUUUCGGCGGUUGGGGAUGGACUCGCGGCUUAUCAGCUUGUUGGUGGGGUAGUGGCUUACCAAGGCUUUGACGGGUAGCCGGCCUGAGAGGGUGAACGGCGACAUUGGGACUGAGAUACGGCCCAGACUCCUACGGGAGGCAGCAGUGGGGAAUAUUGCACAAUGGGCGGAAGCCUGAUGCAGCAACGCCGCGUGCGGGAUGAAGGCCUUCGGGUUGUAAACCGCUUUCGCCUGUGACGAAGCGUGAGUGACGGUAAUGGGUAAAGAAGCACCGGCUAACUACGUG